rnacentral:tRNA from 1 species
GCGAGUGUAGUAUAGUGGUAGUACAUAUGCGUCCCAAGCAUAGGGCGCGGGUCCGAUUCCCGCCACUCGCACCA